AAACCUUUUGGAAUGCUGAUUGAGAUCAUAAGGCACUUCAGUACCUGCUCAUCCUUUAGCUGACUGUCCAAGUUGAGUACAGGGCCACUCAACCUUCUCUACAGACAUGUAGUAGUCCAUGCUGAAUUUAGUUUGCCAGAAAUACUCAGCUUGGAGAAAGUGGGGUGCUUUAAGAUUUGUGUAUCUGCAAGCCAACAGGAAUACCACCAGUAUUCUUGAAUUCCGACCAAACAAUGCUUGACCAGUUGACACAAAGACAGUGUAAAUCUCGUAUCUGAGACACUAGCAAAACAAUUCUGAAAGAGAAGCAACAUCUUUCCCUUCUUGUGCUGGACCCUCUGCAUGGGUCUGCUUAGUGUUCUUAGCUAUUCUGAUGGAACAUCCUGAGAGUCUUGUGGGUAGCUGUUCCAGCUUUGACCUUGAAGCACAGCCCCAGUGAGGCAGCU